CCUACGGGAGGCAGCAGUAAGGAAUUUUCCACAAUGAGCGAAAGCUUGAUGGAGCGACACAGCGUGCAGGAUGAAGUUCUUCGGAAUGUAAACUGCUGUUAUAAGGGAAGAAAAAAUAGAAUAGGAAAUGAUUUUAUCUUGACGGUACCUUAUUAGAAAGCGACGGCAAACUAUGUGCCAGCAGCCGCGGUAAUACAUAGGUCGCAAGCGUUAUCCGGAAUUAUUGGGCGUAAAGCGUCCGUAGGUUUUUUGCUAAGUCUGGAGUUAAAUGCUGAAGCUCAACUUCAGUCCGCUUUGGAUACUGGCAAAAUAGAAUUAUAAAGAGGUUAGCGGAAUUCCUAGUGAAGCGGUGGAAUGCGUAGAUAUUAGGAAGAACACCAAUAGGCGAAGGCAGCUAACUGGUUAUAUAUUGACACUAAGGGACGAAAGCGUGGGGAGCAAACAGGAUUAGAUACCCUGGUAGUCCACGCCGUAAACGAUGAUCAUU
rnacentral:rRNA from 1 species